UACGUAGGGUGCAAGCGUUAAUCGGAAUUACUGGGCGUAAAGCGUGCGCAGGCGGCUUUGCAAGACAGAUGUGAAAUCCCCGGGCUUAACCUGGGAACUGCAUUUGUGACUGCAUGGCUGGAGUGCGGCAGAGGGGGAUGGAAUUCCGCGUGUAGCAGUGAAAUGCGUAGAUAUGUGGAGGAAUACCGAUGGCGAAGGCAGCCCCCUGGGCCAGUACUGACGCUCAUGCACGAAAGCGUGGGGAGCAAACAGG
rnacentral:rRNA from 1 species